GACAGAGGGUGCAAACGUUGUUCGGAAUUACUGGGCGUAAAGCGCGUGUAGGCAGCUUCGCAAGUCGGGUGUGAAAGCCCUGGGCUCAACCUAGGAAGUGCACUCGAAACUGCGGAGCUUGAGUCUCGGAGAGGAUCGCGGAAUUCUCGGUGUAGAGGUGAAAUUCGUAGAUAUCGAGAGGAACACCGGUGGCGAAGGCGGCGAUCUGGACGAUGACUGACGCUGAGACGCGAAAGCGUGGGGAGCAAACAGG
rnacentral:rRNA from 1 species